AUGUGCGGGCGCUGCCGCAACAACCGCUACCUCGUCUAUGACCCCACCGUCUCACCACACUACCAGGUGCUCUACAUCCCUCGUGUUCCACCAGCUGACAUGACCGAGUGGCCGCCUACGCCGUAUGUCAUGCAUGUCUUCUCGUCAACGACAAACCGUUGGAAGGAGACGUCAUUUGUUCGAGAAGCUGAGGCUGCUGCCGUUGCUGGAACCGUUGACGAUGUAAACUCCUAUCGCCGCGACCGUGAUGAGCAUAUGUACUACGCCGCGUAUUGGCAAGGAUCACUCUACGUUCCUUCCCCACACGUAAAAGAUGAUUUCCUCUUCAGAAUAAACUUAUCGAGUGACAAGUACCAGAUAAUUAAGUUGCCAAAAGGACGAGUAGGAUCACAUUUUCGUCUAGGGAAAUCGAAAAAAGGGGUCUAUUGUGUAGUGAAUACCAAUGUGCGAUGCACGUUUCGAGUUUGGUUUCUUCAUGAAUCGUCUGGUCUGGCAGACUGGGUUUUCAAGAAUGAAAUCAACCUUCAGCCAACAUUUAGUAAACAAGAUUGGCACCCCGGACCAUGGACCCCACAGUCGCCUGAGCAGAUACUGUUGUUGUUGAAGAGUGAUGUCAACCCUAAGCUCGUAGAUGAAUACAACGAAGCACUAGCGAGAGAUGGUUUUGAUUGGGACUCUGACGAUGAAGAUCUUGUUAGCAUUACAGAUUGGCCUAAAAAGUGUGACACUUCCAUUGAUGGUCCUGACUGUAUUGGUUUCCAUCCCUAUAAAGAAAUUGUCUUGUUUAAUGAAAGAGGGGUGUGCUCUUGUUCAACGAUAGCCUAUCAUUUAAGCAACUCAAGGGUAAGAUACCUGGGUGAGAUGAGGCCCCGCUGUCACUAUUCAAUGGAAGAGAUUUCUUUUGCGUAUACACCAUGUUGGAUGAUGGACUUACCUGGAAGCAACUAA
rnacentral:rRNA from 1 species